CAGUCCCCUGCUAGCUCAGUUGGUAGAGCAUCAGACUUUUAAUCUGAGGGUCCAGGGUUCAAGUCCCUGGUCAGCUGA